UAAGUUAAUAAGGGCGCACGGUGGAUGCCUUGGCACUAGGAGCCGACGAAGGACGUGACAAACGACGAUAUGCCUUGGGUAGCUGUAAGUAAGCGAUGAUCCAGGGAUUUCCGAAUGGGGGAACCCAACAGGUAAUACCUGUUACCUACAUCUGUUAAGGAUGUGAGGAGGAAGACGCAGUGAACUGAAACAUCUAAGUAGCUGCAGGAAGAGAAAGCAAAAGCGAUUGCCUUAGUAGCGGCGAGCGAAACGGCAGAAGGGCAAACCGAAGAGUUUACUCUUCGGGGUUGUAGGACUGCAAUGUGGACUCAAAGAUUAUAGAAGAAUGAUUUGGGAAGAUCAGCCAAAGAGAGUAAUAGCCUCGUAUUUAAAAUAGUCUUUGUACUUAGCAGUAUCCUGAGUACGGCGGGACACGUGAAAUCCCGUCGGAAUCUGGGAGGACCAUCUCCCAACCCUAAAUACUCCCUAGUGACCGAUAGUGAACCAGUACCGUGAGGGAAAGGUGAAAAGCACCCCGGGAGGGGAGUGAAAUAGAACCUGAAACCGUGUGCCUACAACAAGUUCGAGCCCGUUAAUGGGUGAGAGCGUGCCUUUUGUAGAAUGAACCGGCGAGUUACGUUAUGAUGCGAGGUUAAGUUGAAGAGACGGAGCCGUAGGGAAACCGAGUCUGAAUAGGGCGCCUUAGUAUCAUGACGUAGACCCGAAACCAUGUGACCUACCCAUGAGCAGGUUGAAGGUGCGUUAAGACGCACUGGAGGACCGAACCAGGGCACGUUGAAAAGUGCUUGGAUGACUUGUGGGUAGCGGAGAAAUUCCAAACGAACUUGGAGAUAGCUGGUUCUCUCCGAAAUAGCUUUAGGGCUAGCGUCGACAUUAGAGAUUCUUGGAGGUAGAGCACUGUUUGGGUGAGGGGUCCAUCCCGGAUUACCAAUCUCAGAUAAACUCCGAAUGCCAAUGAAUUAUGGUCGGCAGUCAGACUGCGAGUGCUAAGAUCCGUAGUCGAAAGGGAAACAGCCCAGACCACCAGCUAAGGUCCCAAAAUAAUUGUUAAGUGGAAAAGGAUGUGGGGUUGCACAGACAACUAGGAUGUUAGCUUAGAAGCAGCUAUUCAUUCAAAGAGUGCGUAAUAGCUCACUAGUCGAGUGACCCUGCGCCGAAAAUGUACCGGGGCUAAAACAAUUUACCGAAGCUGUGGAUACCUUUAUAGGUAUGGUAGGAGAGCGUUCUAUGUGUGAUGAAGGUAUACCGUGAGGAGUGCUAGAACGCAUAGAAGUGAGAAUGCCGGUAUGAGUAGCGAAAGACAGGUGAGAAUCCUGUCCACCGUAAGACUAAGGUUUCCAGGGGAAGGCUCGUCCGCCCUGGGUUAGUCGGGACCUAAGGAGAGACCGAAAGGUGUAUCCGAUGGACAACAGGUUGAUAUUCCUGUACUAGAGUAUGUAGUGAUGGAGGGACGCAGUAGGCUAACUAAAGCAGACGAUUGGAAGAGUCUGUCUAAGCAGUGAGGUGUGAAUUGAGUCAAAUGCUUAAUUCUAUAACAUUGAGCUGUGAUGGGGAGCGAAGUUUAGUAGCGAAGUUAGUGACGUCACACUGCCAAGAAAAGCUUCUAGCGUUUAAACAUACUCUACCCGUACCGCAAACCGACACAGGUAGUCGAGGCGAGUAGCCUCAGGUGAGCGAGAGAACUCUCGUUAAGGAACUCGGCAAAAUGACCCCGUAACUUCGGGAGAAGGGGUGCUGACUUAAAGUCAGCCGCAGUGAAUAGGCCCAAGCAACUGUUUAUCAAAAACACAGCUCUCUGCUAAAUCGUAAGAUGAUGUAUAGGGGGUGGCGCCUGCCCGGUGCUGGAAGGUUAAGAGGAGUGCUUAGCGUAAGCGAAGGUAUGAAUUGAAGCCCCAGUAAACGGCGGCCGUAACUAUAACGGUCCUAAGGUAGCGAAAUUCCUUGUCGGGUAAGUUCCGACCCGCACGAAAGGCGUAAUGAUUUGGGCACUGUCUCAACGAGAGACUCGGUGAAAUUUUAGUACCUGUGAAGAUGCAGGUUACCCGCGACAGGACGGAAAGACCCCAUGGAGCUUUACUGCAGUUUGAUAUUGAGUGUCUGUACCACAUGUACAGGAUAGGUAGGAGUCUAAGAGAUCGGGGACGCCAGUUUCGAAGGAGACGCUGUUGGGAUACUACCCUUGUGUUAUGGCCACUCUAACCCAGAUAGGUGAUCCCUAUCGGAGACAGUGUCUGACGGGCAGUUUGACUGGGGCGGUCGCCUCCUAAAAGGUAACGGAGGCGCCCAAAGGUUCCCUCAGAAUGGUUGGAAAUCAUUCGCAGAGUGUAAAGGUAUAAGGGAGCUUGACUGCGAGAGCUACAACUCGAGCAGGGACGAAAGUCGGGCUUAGUGAUCCGGUGGUUCCGUAUGGAAGGGCCAUCGCUCAACGGAUAAAAGCUACCCUGGGGAUAACAGGCUUAUCUCCCCCAAGAGUUCACAUCGACGGGGAGGUUUGGCACCUCGAUGUCGGCUCGUCGCAUCCUGGGGCUGUAGUCGGUCCCAAGGGUUGGGCUGUUCGCCCAUUAAAGCGGCACGCGAGCUGGGUUCAGAACGUCGUGAGACAGUUCGGUCCCUAUCCGUCGCGGGCGUAGGAAAUUUGAGAGGAUCUGCUCCUAGUACGAGAGGACCAGAGUGGACUUACCGCUGGUGUACCAGUUGUCUUGCCAAAGGCAUCGCUGGGUAGCUAUGUAGGGAAGGGAUAAACGCUGAAAGCAUCUAAGUGUGAAACCCACCUCAAGAUGAGAUUUCCCAUGAUUAUAUAUCAGUAAGAGCCCUGAGAGAUGAUCAGGUAGAUAGGUUAGAAGUGGAAGUGUGGCGACACAUGUAGCGGACUAAUACUAAUAGCUCGAGGACUUAUCCA
rnacentral:rRNA from 1 species